UGUGAGGCGCAACCGGGACCGGAAGCCCCUCUGGAGGGCCACAGGUGCUUGUGUUGGGGGCCUGAGAGGGAAAGUGGGGGCAGAAGCGGGGAGUGACCUCCAGGGUCCCUACCCCCCCCAACACCUCCCUCACCCACUGCUUCUAGAAUUUCCACUCCACAGUUAAUAACAAAGCCUAGCCUUCCAAGAGAUGAAGGAACACGUGAUGAUAAACUAUCACAGUUGGAGAGGCAAGAGGAAUCAUCUCCAUCUACAGCAGAAAGAGGAAAGCAAGGCCAGCAUCAUGUCCUGAGAAUCACUGAUAUGUUUGAAGGGACAUGGACCACCUGGACUUUGUGCAGAAUAACACAUCAGCCCACUAUAUUGAUGUAUCCUGCUAAUUGAAUGUGAAGAACAAAAAAGGGAAAGCACAUUCAAGAGCUUGGUAGGAUGUAUGUACUACAAAAAGCACGAGAUGGAUCCUAUGAAGAAAUGGGAACUUGCCACAUCAGUGAAGACCAGGCUUCUGUGCACUGUGGUAUGCCAUAUAUCUGUUUCAAAAUAAAGAAGAGAUUCCUGCAA